GUGGGGAAUCUUCCGCAAUGGACGAAAGUCUGACGGAGCAACGCCGCGUGAGUGAUGAAGGUCUUCGGAUUGUAAAGCUCUGUUAAUCGGGACGAAAGAGCCUAGUGUGAAUAAUGCUAGGAAGUGACGGUACCGGAAUAGAAAGCCACGGCUAACUACGUGCCAGCAGCCGCGGUAAUACGUAGGUGGCAAGCGUUGUCCGGAAUUAUUGGGCGUAAAGCGCGCGCAGGCGGAUCUGCCAGACUGUCUUAAAAGUUCGGGGCUUAACCCCGUGAUGGGAUGGGAACUACAGAUCUAGAGUAUCGGAGAGGAAAGUGGAAUUCCUAGUGUAGCGGGGAAAUGCGUAGAUAUUAGGAAGAACACCAGUGGCGAAGGCGACUUUCUGGACGAAAACUGACGCUGAGGCGCGAAAGCCAGGGGAGCGAACGGGAUUAGAAACCCUUGUAGUCC
rnacentral:rRNA from 1 species